rnacentral:rRNA from 1 species
GACGAACGCUGGCGGCGUGCCUAAUACAUGCAAGUCGAGCGGACUUAAAAAGCUUGCUUUUUAAGUUAGCGGCGGACGGGUGAGUAACACGUGGGCAACCUGCCUGUAAGACUGGGAUAACUUCGGGAAACCGGAGCUAAUACCGGAUAAUCCUUUCCUACUCAUGUAGGAAAGCUGAAAGACGGUUUACGCUGUCACUUACAGAUGGGCCCGCGGCGCAUUAGCUAGUUGGUGAGGUACGGGCUCACCAAGGCGACGAUGCGUAGCCGACCUGAGAGGGUGAUCGGCCACACUGGGACUGAGACACGGCCCAGACUCCUACGGGAGGCAGCAGUAGGGAAUCUUCCGCAAUGGACGAAAGUCUGACGGAGCAACGCCGCGUGAGUGAUGAAGGUUUUCGGAUCGUAAAACUCUGUUGUUAGGGAAGAACAAGUACGAGAGUAACUGCUCGUACCUUGACGGUACCUAACCAGAAAGCCACGGCUAACUACGUGCCAGCCGCCGCAGUAA